UGUUGUUUUCAAAAUCUAGUAUAUUUUGAACUUAAAAUCUCAAUUUUUUUAAGCCUAUGAAGUAAGGUAGAACAAAAAGUUAUUUCAUUUGUGGGUGGAGAAGAUGAUAAGCAAACAUCACAAAGAAGAAACAAAAACCAUUUUUUAUACACUCCCCAUUUGUCAUUCGCGCAUUUUCAGAAGUUAUUGCAGUUCUUCUCUACGUGCAUGAAGCUACAGACUGAAUGGAGGAAAAGACUGAAGUUGGAAGAAUCAUAACUGGAGAAAGGGACUGGAAAAAAUUUCCUCCUCACCCUGGCUUUAUCUAUAUAACUUGUCAUGACUGGUUGAUGCUGACUCAGCUCUCCGAUGGUGAGUUAGGGGGGAUUUUUUCAAGUUCUCUGAAUUUGGGGUAAUGAUUAUUGACCUGUAGUUCUGUAAGCAUUCGACGAAGUUCUGAAGUCUGCUCUUUGAGUUGAACAUUUUCUUGAACAACCUUGUCAUGACAGUCUGACACUUGAUUCAGCUUAUCAAUAAGCUGAUGGUUCUCAUUCCUUAGCCAAAGCACUUGAGACCAUAGCUCAUCCAAGUGCUUCUGUUUUCGCAUACGUGACCGUCGUGCGGACUCUCUAUUCGAUAUCAUCCUUCUCUGCUUCCUCUCAUUGAUAAGGCUUUGCUGUUGCUCAUCUGCUUCAUCAGAAGUUGAAUUGCUACUCAAACAUGGCUGUCUAUUAAAAUCAUGAACUUGAGAAGGACCUUGGAAAUUAUAUAAAGGAUUAGAGAAUUCAUUAAGUUGCAUUGUAGGUAAGUUGUUCUGUGCCAUGGGAAAGUGAGUAGCAUAUGGGGAUAAAUUGGAGGGGAUGAGAUAUUGGAGACUUGUGACUUCACCAGGCUGCAUUUUCAAGGUCUUGUUGAAAGCUUUACUGGAUCUUGGAAGAGAAGAAGACAGUGUUUAGGGAAAAUGGGAAGUUUGGUGGUGAAGGUGCUUUAUAGCAAGUAAAAGGUUUCAUUGGCCCACUCUUGGGAUCAUGGAGUGAUUUUGAGAAAGCUUUUCAGAGGUUGAAUCACUUGAAUAUCAUGCAGAUCUUGUCCAUGUCCUGUUAUGGCACAGCUGCUUUGCUUUCAUGUCAUGAGAUCGACCAGGUACUCUACUAUAUCUUGUACCUUCCUUCCUUCCUGCUUCGACUACUUCAUGUCUAUUAGUAUGUGUUUGUGAUAUAAGCAUGAUUCACACAUAUAUAUACACACACACACGAGACUUGAUUAUGUUUCUGAAUAAUUUUUCACAUCAUAUCUUGAUUACAUCGAGGGCAUACAUAUUGUGGGAGGUAUAAUUAUUGUUAUGGUAGAAUGAUUAGAAAAGUAUCUCUACUAGACAAUUCAAUCUAGUGACGUAAGCAAAAAGAAAAUGGACAAGGCAAGCAAAGCCUUCUUUCACAUCCCUAUUCAUCAACUUUCAUAGGGUAGAGCUCAAAAAGAAACUAUAAUACCCAAUAGUGUUCAAUAUUUAAAUUUCAUUUUAAAAUAAUCAGCUCCAAUAACUUGACCCGGAAUCUUUAUUUAUUUAUUUAUUUUUAUAGAAACAACUGCUUUUAUGGAGGGGAAAAAAAAAAGAAUACAAGGAAAACAAAAAACAAGUUUGUAAGUUCCCUUUAUAGAGAGGGUUUCCAACCAAGUAAGAUACUACCUAAAGGAUAAUUACAAAGGUCUUUGAUACCGAAACCCAAACAGAAACAUCGAAUCUUGCCAAGAACCUAAUAGAGAAACUAUGACCAACCUCCCAUUAGUGCUAUGAGUGAGAUUGAACUAAUCAUAACACAAAAGGGAGGUUAUAUUACAGGUACGUCUCUUUCUUCUUGGUGUCUGAAUUGUACAGGUACUGAUACCAAUUAUCUUAAUAUAAUUCUACGUCUACCAUUUUAACCUUUUCUUUCAUCAAUUCAUGAGUUCUGGGAUAAGACUGUAAGAAUACAAAAUUGUCCCUGAUGCAAAUCUCUUGGCAGAUACUUUUUCUCCCUUCAGGUUUAUUUUGGUUAUAUUAGUGCAAUUUGAUCCAAUCAUUUACACUUAUCCUAGAAAUUUCAGAGCAAUAAUUAAAGAUAAUGGCUACAAUUUUAAAUGCAUACUCAACCUUCUCCCACCUUCCCACAAAAAGAUAGAAAAGGAGAAAGAAAAAGAGGGAGGAUAUCACUACAAAGGCAGAAGUAGCUGAAAAAACUUCAAUUUUUUUUCAAGGCACUAUCAUAUUAUAUUGUAUUCUUGUAAAGUUAUAAAUUAAGUUUUGUAAAGAUAGAUAAGCCCACGCUUAUUUAUUGCAUCACUUGAAAUGGACUACAUUUAAAAACACUGCUGAGAGAAACAGAGUACUCAAAUCUUUUAUUGGUGGCCUCAUCUUGUCUCAUAUUUCUCUUUAAACAAUUAUAAAAAAGGUCUAUAUUUUCUAACCACUACUUUCUUACCAAGUCCCUAUAUAUAUUUGUUUAGCACAAUGAAGACAAUUGUGACCUCAACAUGAAGACAAAAUUUAAAAGUUGAGGUGAAAGGAGGCACUUUUCUAUAAUUAAGAUCUUUAGUUUCUUUAUACAUAGAGAAACUAUACAAUCAUACUCUCUGAUUGCAUGAAAGAUCUUGUCUAAAUAUUUAGGAAAAUUAACAUGAUAUACGAAUUCCCACGGUUGAUGAAGAUCUAGAUUCUAGACGCAGUAGAAAACUUCAAUGUGAUCUCACAUCUUAAGUAUUUGAAUACCUUGAAUCUAUUAUUUGGCUCUCCCAACAAUCAAGUGCGAGGGGCUCGCAAUUCAUAGUAUUUCUGUAUUUGUCCAUUUACGUUUUUUUACCUUAGGGUUUAGAGAAGUGUGUUAUACAAACUCUCUAACCUAAAGGCUUCUUUGUUUUAUAUUCUUGAUUUUCUCUUUAAUAAUGCAUUAUUAGUGAACCACUUA